rnacentral:misc_RNA from 1 species
GUGAAUCAUCGAAUUUUUGAACGCAAAUUGCACUCUCCUCGGAGAGUAUGCCUGUUUGAAGGUCAGCCUAUAAAAAAUCGACAUCGUUGCUGUUUCGCGGUGGCGUUCGUCGGAAAUUGGGUUAUCUUAAAUCCUUUUGGGUUUUAAGCGACUUAAAAUUUUCUUUUUGGUUCCAUGAACGUUUCCAAGAUUUAUUUCUUAACACUUUUAGGUAACGGAUUUUAUUUAGCGUUAACCA